CGUGUACGAUGACACGUACUGACGCAACCUCUGACGAUUAUUUUUUUGGAAGUAUCCCACAGUAUUUUUGGAAGUUAUUUGAUGAUCAGCACUGCUGGCACUGUGGGUAAAUGGAAGGCAAUGGCACGUCCAUCUUUACCUUCUUCAUUGGACUCCACAUUACCUGGGAUAUCUCGAGAAGUGCUGUCUGUGUCCAUGGAACCAAAAUAUCAAUGUCAGCAGUGCAAAGAAAUUCUUAGGAAACCUUUCCAAGCACAGUGUGGACAUCGCUUCUGUGUGUUCUGUUUCAAACAACUCACCAGCUUGGGGCCCAUACCAUGCGAAGCCUGUCGUGCUGAGGGUAUAUUUGAAGAGGCAACAUCUAUGCUCAAUAUUGCAGUGGCAUUUCCUGAUAAUGCUGCACGAAGGGAAAUUGAUAGCUUGCCAGCCAAAUGCCCAAAUGAUGGAUGUAGUUGGUCUGGAACACUGAAAGAGUAUGAGGGUCAACAUGAAGGUCGUUGUGACUUUGAACGUGUCAAAUGUGAAGCAUGUCAAGCACUCAUCUUGGUCAGUGAGAAAGACCGCCACAAUGAGCGGGAAUGCGAGGCCAGAACCCUGAACUGCAAAUACUGCAAGGUCACAUUCAUCUUCAAAGAAAUUAAGGCACAUGAUGAAAUAUGUCAGAAAUUCCCCAUGCAAUGCAAAGACUGUGGUAAAAAGAAAAUCCCCAGAGAGAAGUUUCAAGAGCACAUCAAGUCUUGUGCAAAGUCUAAGUCAGCAUGCCAGUUCAGUGAAAUUGGCUGCAGGGCGGUGGUUGACAGUGGUAAGCAGCAGGAGCAUGAGCAGACCAGCAUGACGGAACAUUUGCGUCUCAUGCUAGCCGUGCUGUCCUCUGUGCGCCAGCGGGCAGAGGGGACAGGAGAGUGGCAGGAAGAUUCUGGACUGGGAUUGUAUCGUGGACCUGAAGAUGCAUCUCCAUUGGGGGCUCAUGCUGCUGGCCAUAAUGCAGGAAGAGGAGGCGGUCCUGGUGUACAGCAGAAAGUCACAGCAUUGGAGAACAUAGUGUGUGUGUUGAACAGGGAGGUGGAGCGAUCGGCCCUCACCCUGGAGGCACUAUCCCGUCAACAUCGGUUAGACCAGGAAAAGAUAGAAAGCUUGUCAAACAAGGUGCGACAGCUAGAACGGACUUUAACCAUGCGAGAUCUGCAGUUAGCAGAAUCUGAACAGUCCUUGCGGGAGCUGCAGUUUUGUACAUACGAUGGAGUUUUCAUUUGGAAAAUUGCAGACUUCUCUCGUCGCAGACAAGACGCAGUGGGGGGCCGGGCACCUGCCAUGUUCUCACCUGCGUUCUACUCCAGUAAAUAUGGGUAUAAGAUGUGUCUGAGACUUUACCUGAAUGGUGACGGCACAGGCCGGGGCACUCAUCUGUCUCUAUUUUUUGUGGUCAUGAGGGGCAAAUAUGAUGCCUUGCUGAAGUGGCCCUUUAGCCAGAAGGUAAAUGAUCAGCUAUUAUUUUACUUUCUCUUUUGGGCUUUUACUGACUCUUUCCUUUUCUUCUUUUAUUUAGUGAUGUGAUACAGACUAAAGCAUUACAGUACCACUUGUGUAGUUUGGAUGCAGAGUUAUAGACUUUUAUAGCAGGGACUGAAUGUUGUAGCUAUUCUAUUGUACUCUACACUUUAUAUAAAUAUAUUUUAUUGAAUAUUACAUGUACAACAUACUAUGGAGAAUUAAGGUGGUGGAGGUUGUUUUACACUAAGUAGACAUCGAAAACGCCUCUUUUACCGCCGCGGGUACCGCAGCGGCGGUGGUAUGAAGUGCAUUUGCAGCUUUUGACUGCUGAGUGGCGCUUUAACCACAAGUUAUCAAACAAGCGCAUCAAAGCAUAUUUUCGCAAAUAGACUCAGUUUUGCCUUGCUGAUGUCUUACAUUUGACUGCUUCAGUCACAGAAAAUGAAAGAAAAACACUGUGAUUUAAUAUAUUUAAUAUUCACAGAUGAAAGUUUUGUAUUUGUGAAGUUAUGUGCAUUUCAUAGAACGAGAAAGAGUCUGUGCUUAUAUUUUCUAAGCUACAUGGUAUUAAACCAUAUUUUAGAUUGGACACAUUUAAAAGGUGUGCAGUAUUAUUUAUAUUAUAUUAAUUAUGCGUUAUAUUAUUCAAAAGAAAUUGUGGUUUAGUUUGCAUCCGAGCAUUAAAAGUGGUAGCCUAUUUUAGGGGGGUAGGCUACAUGGAUUAAUAUGCAAAAUGUCAAUAUUUUAAUAUAUUAUGCCUACAUUUUAAUUUAUAUUUUAAAUAUAAAUAUAUUUUUUCCUUUAAUAAAACAACAUGCAUUUUUGUUAUUCGUUACCUGUUAUUUUGACAUAACCUAUUGUGAAAAAGACAUUUGUCUGUAAACUGAUUAAGAAAUUGUUGCAUGUUUAAAUGUGAAGCACAGUAUAAUUUCGUUCCCAUUAUUUAGGCCUAAUUUGCCUAAAACAAGAAACAAAUCAAAUUAAACCGGCACGAUUAAAUCUUUGAAACUCUAAAGAAUGAAUAAAACGUCCUCAUGAUUAAACUCAAGUUCUCUCAUUAUAAUCAACAACAUUCACACGAUGUAAAAAAAAAAAAAAAAGCUUUAGUAAUUGACAACUAAAGGAAUUUUAAAGGGAACCUUCUUUAAUUUCUUUUAAAGUAGGGUAAUAUCAUUUGGCCUAAAAAAAAUCCCAGUUUUAUUUUAGAAAAAAAAAUCUGAUUAAUCAAUAUUCAAAUGACAAAGAAAUUUUACAAAACAAGUUUUAAUAUAGUUCUUUAUCAUUCAUUUAGCAGUCAAAUUUAUUACUGCAACAAAAUGAUUAAAAAAAAAAUACCAGUACUGUUAUUACCUUAAUGCUGGAAAGAUGCUAUUUUUUUAAUACUAGCCCAUCAUGCAUUUAACCAUCCACUCAGCUUUAAGAGCUGUUCAGAUUAAAACUGGCAGCUCAGCAGUGAGUCAGUGUCAGACGAGGUCCUUUUAAAAGUACGCGGAUGGAUUUUUGCUAUGAACCCCUCUUUAGAACUCCUAGAGAAAAGGGUUGCAUAACAUAAAGAAGGAUACGUGAGACCUAAAUGAAGGGCUAGAACAUUUAUUUAAAUAAACAAAACUAAGAAAACACGUAUCAUAACGGAAUAAACACCAAAAUACUUCUACAAAAGUUACCAAUCUAUGAUAAACAGAAACGAACAACAAGACACUUCAAAAUAUGAAAACAACAAAAAACAACCAUAAAUUCCAAUUAAGAAAAACAAGAAAAGAAAAGCAAGCUGUUGGCAGGUGAGUCUCCAAUCUCCUCCCUCACACCAUCAUGCUCCGCUUCAGCGUCCUUAAUAGCGUAGUUCACCAACGAGUACAAUGAGUCGCAGGUGUACAACGACGGGCAGGUGCACGGGGCAGACCUAGCAAUCAAACUCAGAUGCAGAAAAAGAAAGAAAAAUCAGGACAUUGUAGAUAAGAAACUCACAAGGCACAAGCCGUAACACUCCCACACUUAAAAGGACGAGGUUCUGAGUGAAGCUACAGUAUUAGCAAAUAGGAGUCACACCAACCCAGACAUAAAAAUUUCAUUAUACGUUUACCUAGCCCCGGGAAAGGGCAUCUGCCACGGCAUUUUCACUUCCUUUCUUGUGAUGAAUCUCAAGAAAAUAACAUUGAGCCAUUAACGCCCAACGCAUCAAACGCUGGUUAUGGUUGUACAUUUUAUUUAAAAAAAAAAACAGCGGCUUGUGAUCCGUGUAGACUAUGACGGGAGUAGAGCUAUAUCCAACAUACAUGUCGAAGUGCUGCAAAGCAAGCAACAUAGCCAGAGUCGCCUGUUAAUAUUUUUUCUAGUUUAUAUUUCCAUCUCGUUAUGCCUCUGGUUUAGAUUUUUUUUUUUCUUAUAGAACUUAUUUGUAAAUAGAGCAGUCACUGUCUGUGUCUACACCUGACGCGAGAGUUGUCAUCUGUGCCCCACAGCAAAAAGUGUGUCUAAACUUGAUGACAUCACACUAUAGUGUCAAAUCAUCUGAAGGCAGUGUCAGAACAUUUCAUCAUAAACAGAAUGAACAUCAGUUCACUGAUGGGGAUUGUGUCCAGUGUAUCCAUCACUGGGUUCUGCUGUCUUUUGUUGGAUCGUUCCACUCGUGUCCGGUGUAGACCUGGCAUGCGUUUUUUUAUUGUUUUAUUUUACAGCCCUGCUUGUUUUAAUGUUUUUAUUAAAUAUCUGUAUUGACUGCGUGGUCAUAUUAUCGAAUUAUUUACUGCCAUGCGACCUACAAAGUAAACCUUGGCGAGUUGAUGAACGAACAUUGCUGCAGGUUGAAUUUUGGCGGAUGUGCUGUGCUUGUGCAGCCGCGGUCGUUUUAAUUUCGUCAGGUGAAACAUCUCUCUCACUCGCAGCAGAGUCUAUGAGCAGCAACAACUUCCCCUCCAUUCGCACUGAUACCAGAAACACGCCCCGCCUUCACUCUGUGAAUAAAGUAUUUCAGUAUGUUUGAAAUGUUAUGUUAAGUGGCUUAAGCUAUGUGUAAACGUUUUUCCCUAUAUCACAUGCCAAACUAAUAACAUUGUAAGAAUUACAUCUUUAAUUGCCGAAAAAUUUUGUUUGUGAUGAAAAUAACAUCUUUGUCAGUUAUUUUAUCUAAACAGGUCGAUUAACUUCUUCAAGAUUUCAAAAUCAGAUAGCAUGCUGAUAAUGUAGUAGCACUGUAAGAUUACAUUUGUUUGAACACAUUAUUGCGAAAGCGAUUGAGUGUGAAUCUGUUUAAAUCAUGCUUUAACCCGAAAAUAAUCAGUAAAAGAAACAGACAAACUCUUACAUUCCGCUCAACUCUUGCAGUCAACCAUCAAGCUAAAUAUGUUGGCUGUUGGCAUGAAUUUUACUCGUGAUAAGAAGCUCAUAUUCAAGUGUUUGUGCAAAAAUUAUUAAUGUGCAUUAAUGCAAGGGAGGCGCCAUCUCAUCACUUAAAUUUUUCAUGAUAAUGAAUGUAUAAUUUUUUAAUUAACAUAACAUCGUGGUGUCUCACAUAGGUACAUUAAUAAUAUAUCUACAGAAAGCUUGAAAUGUUUUUAAACGAAAAGGAAUAGUGUAAUGUGUGAAUGUUGCAUUUCUCUCAUCGGAGAGAGCCAGCACUGUGAAUAUAAGCAAAACAACAGUCCUAUAUAAACCAGUUCAGCAAAUGAAAGCCUCAUAAGACACUGUCCAUAUGAAAGAGCAAUUCACACCUUUAUCUCGACCCCCACAAGCCAUGAAAAACUAUCCAAAACCCAACCCCCUCCAGCUGAACAGAAUUCGGUCUGUGUUUUGGCUCUGAGGAACAGUGUGUUACUGGGCUGAAACAUGCCAUGAACAGAGGGGUUACCAGGAUGUCAUGUUUGGGGGGGCAUUUGGCUUUUUUGGGGGGGCAACAUAAACAACUGAAAAAAUUGAGCGCAAGAUUAAGCUAUACUACACACAAUCUGUUUUAGUGCAUAUCUUUUUCUAAGCCAGGAACCCAGAGAUAGGUACAGGGCGCCUAUUAGACUAUAGGGCUGUCACAUAAAAGUUGGUUAAACCCGGUCAACAUUAAUAAUAUGAUGAUGAUAUUAUUAUUAUUAUUCACAGAUUCAUAUAUAGAACAGAUCACGGUGAUUGCCUGAUGAUGAGUGACAGGUGUUUGCUUGUGAGAAGACUUGCUACACGAGUAGGCUUUUUUAAAAUGAAUCUGAAGUCAUGUUUGUAUAGACAAGAGGUAAAUUAAUUUGUUUCUUCUAAGCUGUUCCAGACGUAGGUGCUACCAUAAAUUCGCCAGUUAGCCUCUAAGUUUCUUUGUGAAUGCGGCCCCAGGUAAAAAAAAAAUGCAUAUGCUCAUUUGAACAGUAUGAGAACAGUAUUUGAAUGGUAUUCUCUGGUUGUAAGUGGCUUGGGAUAAAAGUGUUUGCUAAAUGAAUAAAUAUAAACAUGUAGGCCUAGAUAAAAGAAAACAUAUUAGGCUACAGGGGGUAAGAAGAGUUUAAAUAAAAGCUAUUUUUGUGAAACUAUAAGAAUUGAGUUUAUGAUGUCAUUAGCAGAGGCAACAUAACUAUUUUUAAACAUGGUUUUAUUUUUAUUUUAUUUGAUUAUUUAAUUUUAUUAUGAUUAGUGGUGCUUGCCAUAGGCAAAUGUAAUAAUUAUUUUACGGGGCUGUGGAGUCUG